rnacentral:ncRNA from 1 species
CGACCUCAGAUCAGACGAGAUUACCCGCUAAAUUUAAGCAUAUCAAUAAGCGGUGGAAAAGAAACGAAAACGAAUUCUCCAAGUAGCGGCGAGCGAAACGAGAAAAGUCCAUACACCGAAGUCGGCGAGCAGUUGUGUUCGUCAACAGUGUGGUGUUAAAGGUGUCGUUGCAUGUGCUGAAAUCAGUUCGUAGGCUCCCUUGAUUGGGGCUUCAGAGCGGGUGCAGGACCCAUAACGAACGAUGUUUUGUGCAUGGUGUCGCGGCUCCUAAUCGAGUCGGGUUGCUUGAGACUGCAGCCCAAAGCGGGUGGUAAAUCUCACCCAAGACUAAAUAUUCGUACGAGACCGAUAGCGAACAAGUACCG